rnacentral:rRNA from 1 species
CCUACGGGAGGCAGCAGUAGGGAAUCUUCCACAAUGGACGCAAGUCUGAUGGAGCAACGCCGCGUGAGUGAAGAAGGGUUUCGGCUCGUAAAGCUCUGUUGGUAGUGAAGAAAGAUAGGGGUAGUAACUGGCCUUUAUUUGACGGUAAUUACUUAGAAAGUCACGGCUAACUACGUGCCAGCAGCCGCGGUAAUACGUAGGUGGCAAGCGUUGUCCGGAUUUAUUGGGCGUAAAGCGAGUGCAGGCGGUUCAAUAAGUCUGAUGUGAAAGCCUUCGGCUCAACCGGAGAAUUGCAUCAGAAACUGUUGAACUGGAGUGCAGAAGAGGAGAGUGGAACUCCAGGUGUAGCGGUGGAAUGCGUAGAUAUAUGGAAGAACACCAGUGGCGAAGGCGGCUCUCUGGUCUGCAACUGACGCUGAGGCUCGAAAGCAUGGGGAGCGAACAGGAUUAGAUACCCGAGUAGUC